rnacentral:rRNA from 1 species
UGUAUAAUGGGUCAGCGACUUAUAUUCUGUAGCAAGGUUAACCGAAUAGGGGAGCCGAAGGGAAACCGAGUCUUAACUGGGCGUUAAGUUGCAGGGUAUAGACCCGAAACCCGGUGAUCUAGCCAUGGGCAGGUUGAAGGUUGGGUAACACUAACUGGAGGACCGAACCGACUAAUGUUGAAAAAUUAGCGGAUGACUUGUGGCUGGGGGUGAAAGGCCAAUCAAACCGGGAGAUAGCUGGUUCUCCCCGAAAGCUAUUUAGGUAGCGCCUCGUGAAUUCAUCUCCGGGGGUAGAGCACUGUUUCGGCAAGGGGGUCAUCCCGACUUACCAACCCGAUGCAAACUGCGAAUACCGGAGAAUGUUAUCACGGGAGACACACGGCGGGUGCUAACGUCCGUCGUGAAGAGGGAAACAACCCAGACCGCCAGCUAAGGUCCCAAAGUCAUGGUUAAGUGGGAAACGAUGUGGGAAGGCCCAGACAGCCAGGAUGUUGGCUUAGAAGCAGCCAUCAUUUAAAGAAAGCGUAAUAGCUCACUGGUCGAGUCGGCCUGCGCGGAAGAUGUAACGGGGCUAAACCAUGCACCGAAGCUGCGGCAGCGACGCUUAUGCGUUGUUGGGUAGGGGAGCGUUCUGUAAGCCUGCGAAGGUGUG